rnacentral:rRNA from 1 species
UUUGAUGGCGACCGGCGCACGGGUGAGUAACACGUAUCCAACCUGCCGAUGACUCGGGGAUAGCCUUUCGAAAGAAAGAUUAAUACCCGAUAGCAUAAUGAUUCCGCAUGGUUUCAUUAUUAAAGGAUUCCGGUAAAGGAUGGGGAUGCGUUCCAUUAGGUUGUUGGUGAGGUAACGGCUCACCAAGCCUUCGAUGGAUAGGGGUUCUGAGAGGAAGGUCCCCCACAUUGGAACUGAGACACGGUCCAAACUCCUACGGGAGGCAGCAUG